CUGGGUUCCUGACUGUUCUCAUGUGCCUUUGCCAUCGCCGUAAGAACACACUUGGGUUAAUUGUUGGCUCAAGAAAGACAAGAGAUAGGUGGAGUUGAGCCCAAAGUGAUCAGCCAACUCUUAGCUGACCUCAGAUGUGUGAGCAACAAAUGUUAAUUAUUGCUGGUGGUUUGUUACCUGGCAUUAUUGCAGCAAUAGAUAACUGAUACAUAGGAAGUAAUGUUAUAUUAAAUUAACUACUAAUUAAGUAUUAAAAGUGGCAAUGGUUUUCAAAUGGUGUUCCUCAGCACCCUAAGUGUUCCUUUGAGCUUCCUUCAGAGCAGGGCUAUACAGGAGGUGGGACACAAAUGCUCAGAAUUGUGAGAUGUUUAAAGAAAGUCUUCUGGUACUAAAAUUCAUUUGAAAGUGCGCUUAUCCUGGCUCUGAAUCCCACGUUUGUCACUGAUUAGCUGUGUGACCUUAGGUAAGUUAAUUAGCCUCUCUGAAUUGGUUUAUUUUCCUCCUCUUCUUUCUUCUUGAUCAUCACCAUCAACACCAUUACCCAAACAUUGACUGUGAUCAUCAGUUUAGAUAUAGCCCACCAUUGAUUCCCCACACCAGCCCUGGUAGAUGUUUUUACCCCUGCUUUACAGGUAAGGAAAUUGGGACCUAGGAAGAUUAUGUUACAUUCCAAGGCCACCCAAUAGGCCAGAGCGCUGGGCUUUAACGCCAGAUCAGUCUGACUUAAAAGCUUGUGGUUUUAACUGCUAAUAGAGUGGCUGUCAGGGUAAAUGAAGAUAUAUGGAUAUUGCUUAGGUCUGUACCUGGCAUUUAAUAAAUUGUAGAGAUUACCAAAUUCAUCUUGGUUACAUCAUUGGGUAUUUGCCAUCCUAGAAUGUGACCAAGCCUUUGGGGACAUUUGAAUAGCACAGAGAAAUUUUAUGUAUUCCAGAAGAGGUAUAGCCAAUUCUUAUUUCAUUUACUUUUCUCUCCCAGGGACAGUCAAGGUGUCAAUAGUACAAUCUUCUAGGGCAAGGAGAGAAAAAGGAGUGCAUAACCUCGCUGGGAUGUCCAGCCUCCAGCUGUAG
rnacentral:lncRNA from 1 species